GACGAACGCUGGCGGCGUGCUUAACACAUGCAAGUCGAACGGAAAGGCCCUGCUUUUGGGGGGUGCUCGAGUGGCGAACGGGUGAGUAACACGUGAGUAACCUGCCCUUGACUUUGGGAUAACUUCAGGCAACUGGGGCUAAUACCGGAUAGGAGCUCCUGCUGCAUGGUGGGGGUUGGAAAGUUUCGGCGGUUGGGGUUGGACUCGCGGCUUAUCAGCUUGUUGGUGGGGUAGUGGCUUACCAAGGCUUUGACGGGUAGCCGGCCUGAGAGGGUGACCGGCCACACUGGGACUGAGCUACGGCCCAGACUCCUCCGGGAGGCAGCGGUGGGGAGUAUUACCCUAGGGGCGGAAGCCUGCUGCAGCAACGCCGCGUGCGGGAUGACGGCCUUCGGGUUGUGAACCGCUUUCGCCUGUGACGAAGCGUGAAUGACGGUACUGGGUGAAGAAGCACCGGCUAACUACGUG
rnacentral:rRNA from 1 species